GAGCUUAUCCCCUCUCUAAUGAUUCGAAAGACCAGAUCAGUUUUUUUACUUUUUAUAGAGGCAAGGCAUAGAUGAUUUGAGACCACAAUUCUCAACUCUACAUUAUGGGAUCAAACUAGAAAAAAAAUCCUUGGUUAAUUGGAGCAAAGUGGUGUAGUUUGGCCAAAGGAUGCCCCAGUGUGCUCUUUUUUUUGGUUUUUUAGUUACCCGUGCAUAAUUGACUAUCAAAAAGAGCUCGAAUGCGUAAUUGGUGAUAAAUUCAAACUUAUGUUAUACGGUGAACCGGAUGUAUGCAGAGAUGAUCUUUUUUUUUGUCUGUCUAUUUUUUUCGCUGUUUGAAUGACGGUAGGUAGGUCCCUUCUCCAGGAGUAGCAUGAUCCAGAUUGGGGAGAAACAUUACAAAGACUAAUC